ACAUGCCAUGGUCAAUUCCCGCUUGACAUCCAGAAGCAUCUGAUGUGGUAUUUGAAACACCCGUCCGUGGCUGGCAGGAUGCCACAUUCCCAGCUUACACUCCUCCUCCAGUCUCCCCUACCAAUUCCCCCUGACACCCUUGGCCUCUAAUGUGGGAGGCCUGGCACCCAGCCCUUUGAGCUUCCCUUCUUCUCCAUCUGCCCUCACCUCCAGGGUGAUUUCAUCCAGUCCCACAGCUCUAUACACAUGCUGAUGAUGCCAACAUCUGCAUCUCCAGGCAAGUCCUCUCCCUGAACUCCAGGCUUGAAUGGAAAACUUACUUGACACCUUGGGUGUCUAGAAGGACACCCAGAUGCUAUUGGUCUGAACACGUCAAAAGCCGAAUACCAGCUGUACGAUCCCAUUUCCGAACAUCUAAACCUGCCCUGAGUCUCCCUCAUCUUGCUAAAUGGCAACUCUAUCCUUUUUUUUUUUUUUAAUUAAACCCAUUGCAAGUUGAAAAUAUUGUAAGUCGGCCAGGUGCGGUGGCUCAUGCCUGUAAUCCUAGCACUUUGGGAGGCCGAGGCGGGCAGAUCACUUGAGGUCAGGAGUUCAAGACCAGCCUGGCCAACAUAAU
rnacentral:lncRNA from 1 species